rnacentral:tRNA from 1 species
CAGGGCGUGGCUGAGUAAGUCAAGCAUCUCACUUACACCGAGAAGACAUCUAUGCAAAUUAGAUCACCCUGAGCCAAACAGC